UUAGUGCUGAUGCAGUGACAUUACAUCAAGGUAAAAGGGAAGACUCAGCCAGAUGACUUCUAACCUGUUUGGCUCCCACAUCAGCCCUGCUGGAGGCUGAUGCACCUCCCACCAGCUUCAAACUGUGCUGGGGUCCUCCUUGCUGCCUACAAGACUGCAUCAUAUAUGAGUUGGGAUUAGCCAGAGGGUAAGUCUUCUGAGGCAGUGUUAGUGACCGAAGGAACAGUGUUACUGGUUGUCAAAAUCAAUUCACUCUUUGUCCGCAGGUACCACUUCCCUUAAGAAGAGACUGGUUGGUGGAACUGAGAGAACCCCAAAAAUUAAGAGAAUUCUUCACAGUGCAGAUGAAUUACUACUCACAGUGUUGGUAUGACAGUCAGACAUCUGAAGUCUGACAGGCAGACAAGCUGACAGCUGUGCAAGUUCCUAGCUGGGCUCUAGUCUAGCAGUAGAACAGAAGCAUAGACAGAUGCUGAAUGCCUCCCCAGCUCCUCAGGGCUUCCAUGGAGACUCCCGCAACACUGGUUGCCCUGCAUGGCUGCCUCUAGCUCCAGGACCAACCUUGAAGCAGGUGGAUGACAGCCAAGCAACUGGAUCUACAAAGGAGGAAGCCGGCAGUGAGACCAAGAAAGAAGCCUCUUCAACAUCCACCGUCUCCCACUGUACCUAUCCAUCCAUGCUUCUGGCUCCCUACUCCCCUCUCUUUCCCUUUUUCUUCCUCUAUCACUGCUAUCUGCAUCUGUCUCAUCUUCCCCUGCAAAUCCCUCUGUCCUGCUGCCUGACCCAUUGUUUCUUGCUAUACCCACCUGUCUAGCUGGUGCUUCUCUUUUUCUCUCCUUACGCCUCUGUCCUGCUCCCUGGCCUUAUUUUUCCUUCCUCCAGCCCUGCUCUACAGUCCGUGGUAGCAGAAAGCAACAGGUCAGCAUGGGACAGAUGAGUGCUCAUCCAAUGCUGAUUUCUGAGGUGAAAUGGGGGGAAAUGGGUGCAUAGGGGCCAUCAGACACGCAGCAGCCUCCCUCCAGGCACUGAUGUGCAUGAAUAAACAGCUGCUUUGUUUAUUGCA
rnacentral:lncRNA from 1 species